rnacentral:lncRNA from 10 species
UUUGUUGCAGACACCUGUAUUUUAUUCCUUUUUAUUGCUGUAUAGUAUUCCAUUGUACAGAUGUCCACAGUUCAGGGGUUUUCUAAUCCAUUUUCCUCCUGAUGGACAUUUGGAUGCUUUCAGUUUGGUGCUAUAGUGGAAAAGGUUGUGAUGAACAUUCUUAUAUAUGUGUUUUGCCAGAUGCAUGCACUUAUGUCUCUCAAACAUAUACUUAGAAAUUGAAUUUCUAGAUCAUGGAGUAGGUGUUUAUUUUAGUAAAUACUACCAAAUAGUUUUCUAAAAUUGUACCAAUUUACAUUUCAUUUGCAAAUACAUUUAAAUGGCAGGAAAACUUUAGCUAUUUGAGUGAUGUCUCCUAAAAGUGAGCUCUUCUAUAUUAUUGUGCAGAUAAAGGAAAUGCCAGAACCAACAGACCUGGAAAUCACAGCAAGAAGUGGUCAUACCAAGCUGGUAUGAAUGUGAAUCAACUGGAUGUCAUUAGUACCAUAUAAAAUGAAUAGUGCCUCCCUUGGCUCCCAGAUCCUGGAGAAUCCAGGCCUCAGCUGGGCUGUGUUUCUUGGGCCACUCAGAAUGUUUUCUGUCAGGGUUUGGCUCCAACUAACCAUACUCACGGGAGACUGAUGUACCCCUUGCCCCAGAAGGAGUGUGUUCACAGCAGUGGGAUCCUGAUCUGAUGCCAGGAAGGCUCCUGAUCAUUCUCAAAUAACGACUUCCUGGUAGUGAUGUGCUGAGAAGAAGGCUUUGGACUAUUAGUACUGACACCUUAAAGAGCUUCCCAUGAAUUAAGUGCCAGAAGGACUUUGGACCAGAUUCUGACAUCUCUGAUUGUCAUCCCUCAUCAUGUCCGUCUCAGACGCAAAGGCACAUUCUGUGGGAUAGGAGUGCUUUGAGGGACUCUUUUGGAUUCUACUCCAGAAUGGAAAGCAAAGUUUACCCGCAUAUCCCUUGGCAAGACUUAAAUAGGUGACUGUAUAAAUGAGAGUUCAAGGGUAGUGGUGGAGUAGUGCUAUGGGGAAGGAACGAAACUUUAUUUGCAGAACAAAGAUUAGACUGUAUGUGAGACAAAAUACCAUCUCUGCCUGUCUCCCAUUUCCUAUUGCAAUGUCUGGCCAUGUUUGGUGCCCAAUAAAUAUGUGUGGAAUGCAGGGAUGAAAAACAAAUAAAUGAAUGGAUGGAUGAUGAGUAGAUGAAUGCAUAGAUGGGUGGAGUAUGAGUGAAGAAUGGAUGAAUGAAUGAAUGGAUGAUGGAUAAAUAGUUGGCUGUAUAGACAUAUGGAGGAUAGGUGAGGGAUGGAUGAUGGGUGAGGGAUGGAUGAAUGAAUGAAUGAAAAAAUGGAUGCAUGGGCAGUGGACAGAUGGUGAGUGGAUGGAUAAGUAGAUGAAUGGAUGGAUGAGGGAUUGGAUGGAGGGCAGAAUGAGAUUUUAUUCACCUGUCUUCCAAUAUGGUUGCUGCCCUCCCCUCUGCUAUGGCCCAAGUCA